GCUGAUUGGUAGAUCCGAUGGAGAGCGACAGACGACGCGCACAGGACGAGGACGGGCACAGUGGAAAACGGCCAAUGGGGUGGUUCGUAACGCGAGAUGGAACAAAACGAAAUCAGCGAGAUUCGCGCGAGAUGAACCGCGACCGCGAUAUAAUUUUCAAAGGAUACGAAACUCUCCUCCGUCGAGGGAGUCCGUUGCCUUCUUGCCUCUUUCUUCGUUCCAGUAAACGAAGGGAAGGCAGAGAACGAGAGAAGCCUGACAAGUAUUCAGCGAGACAAGGAGAGAGAGACUGAGAAUAGACGGUGAAUGAAAGAACGUGUGAAAGAGAUUAUCGGAUAUGUGGCACAAGUACAGUUGCCGUUGACUUCACGGGUCGCGGUUUAGAAAUCGUUUAAGGUUACCUGGAACGUGGUCCGGAUCGGCUCGAUAAAAUGGCCAGUAAAAAUUAUUCUUACAUUAGAAUAUCAUGUACAUGAAAUUUCAAAGGAACAAGAAUUCUCCUAAAACAUUUGUAGAAGAAUAUCAAAAAAUAUUCUAUGCAUUGUAAGAAUGUAUACUAUUGGAUUUAGUAAUGUGAAGCCAGGUAGCCGAGGUUUCUAUCAAAGCGGUACUUUUACUGGUAUCCUUUCAAGAGACAAAGAAUUUGUCCGCAGCGAUAGCGACCUGUGAUCAGUAAAGACACUCGUGUUGCCAACUGCAGAUCCGCCAGGAUGGUGGGGAGGGAAACGACACUGUAAGGCCCGACUGGCAAGGCAUGUUUCUUACAUUCAGCCGCGUUCAGCUGUAUGUACGCGGACAGGAUCUAGCCAGCUGCGGCCUUCUUCGACCUUCCCCCCACCAGGUCGGAAUCGAGCCUUCUGGCCAGCUACACGACCGGUACUUCAACGUUCUAACAAGAAAUAUCCGCGAAGACUCCACCUUCGAUCUUCGUGAAGCACUAUCUCGCCAGGACAGUCAAAAACGGGUACCUUUGGGAUAUCUUGUCCCUUUGCGCUUUUGUAGACUACUGAUAAUAGUAAAACGAACGAUUAAUUUUGUUACGUAGAGUGAAGUUCAAGAAUAGAAAAAAAAAAAAUAAAUAAAUAAAUUGUGGAAAAGAUAAUGUAUACAGUUAGUAAGAUCUUUUUGGGAUAUAAUAAUACUAGUGAGAUUACUAGUGAAUUACUACUUGUUAUGUGAAAAUAAUUGAGAAAGAGUAAGGGUAGUGUUGAA